rnacentral:rRNA from 1 species
AUUGAACGCUGGCGGCAAGCCUAACACAUGCAAGUCGAACGAGUGGCGGACGGGUUAGUAAUGUUUGGGAAACUGCCUGAUGGAGGGGGAUAACUCCUGGAAACGGUCGCUAAUACCGCAUACCAUCGGAUGUGCCCAGAUGGGAUUAGCUAGUAGGUGGUGUAAAGGCUCACCUAGGCGACGAUCCCUAGCUGGUCUGAGAGGAUGACCAGCCACACUGGAACGGAGACACGGUCCAGACUCCUACGGGAGGCAGGAGUGGGGAAUAGUGGACAAUGGGCGCAAGCCUGAUGCAGCCAUGCCGCGUGUAUGAAGAAGGCAUUCGGGUUGUAAAGUACUUACAGCGGGGAGGCGUUACACGCAGAAGAAGCACCGGCUAACUCCGUGCCAGCAGCCGCGGUAAUUC